rnacentral:rRNA from 1 species
GCUCAGGAUGAACGCUGGCGGUCUGCUUAACACAUGCAAGUCGAACGCAACCUUCGGGUUGAGUGGCGGACGGGUGAGUAGCGCGUGAGAAUCUGCCUUGGGGUCGGGGACAACCACUGGAAACGGUGGCUAAUACCGGAUAAGCCUUUGGGUAAAAAAUUUAUUGCCCCAAGAGGAGCUCGCGUCUGAUUAGCUAGUUGGUGAGGUAAAAGCUCACCAAGGCAGCGAUCAGUAGCUGGUCUGAGAGGACGAUCAGCCACACUGGGACUGAGACACGGCCCAGACUCCUACGGGAGGCAGCAGUGGGGAAUUUUCCGCAAUGGGCGAAAGCCUGACGGAGCAAGACCGCGUGAGGGAGGAAGGCUCUUGGGUUGUAAACCUCUUUUCUCAGGGAAGAAGCUCUGACGGUACCUGAGGAAUCAGCCUCGGCUAACUCCGUGCCAGCAGCCGCGGUAAUACGGAGGAGGCAAGCGUUAUCCGGAAUUAUUGGGCGUAAAGCGUCCGCAGGUGGCGAUUCAAGUCUGCUGUCAAAGCACGGGGCUUAACUCCGUUAAGGCAGUGGAAACUGAAUAGCUAGAGUGCCGUAGGGGUAGAGGGAAUUCCCGGUGUAGCGGUGAAAUGCGUAGAGAUCGGGAAGAACAUCGGUGGCGAAAGCGCUCUACUGGACGGCAACUGACACUCAGGGACGAAAGCUAGGGGAGCGAAUGGGAUUAGAUACCCCAGUAGUCCUAGCUGUAAACGAUGGAUACUAGGUGUAGCUUGUAUCGACCCGAGCUGUGCCGAAGCUAACGCGUUAAGUAUCCCGCCUGGGGAGUACGCACGCAAGUGUGAAACUUCAAGGAAUUGACGGGGGCCCGCACAAGCGGUGGAGUAUGUGAGUUAAUUCGAUGCAACGCGA